CAGUCGCCACGGUAAUACAGAGGGUGCGAGCGUUAAUCGGAUUUACUGGGCGUAAAGCGUGCGUAGGCGGCUUCUUAAGUCGGAUGUGAAAUCCCUGAGCUUAACUUAGGAAUUGCAUUCGAUACUGGGAAGCUAGAGUAUGGGAGAGGAUGGUAGAAUUCCAGGUGUAGCGGUGAAAUGCGUAGAGAUCUGGAGGAAUACCGAUGGCGAAGGCAGCCAUCUGGCCUAAUACUGACGCUGAGGUACGAAAGCAUGGGGAGCAAACAGGAUUAGAUACCCGUGUAGUCCCUGUCUCUUAUAA
rnacentral:rRNA from 1 species